rnacentral:rRNA from 1 species
UACGUAGGGCGCGAGCGUUGUCCGGAAUUAUUGGGCGUAAAGAGCUCGUAGGCGGUCUGUCGCGUCGGCUGUGAAAACCCGGAGCUCAACUCCGGGCCUGCAGUCGAUACGGGCAGACUGGAGUUCGGCAGGGGAGACUGGAAUUCCUGGUGUAGCGGUGAAAUGCGCAGAUAUCAGGAGGAACACCGGUGGCGAAGGCGGGUCUCUGGUACGUGACCGACGCUGAGACGCGAAAGCGUGGGGAGCAAACAGG